UACGUAGGGUGCAAGCGUUGUCCGGAAUUAUUGGGCGUAAAGAGCUCGUAGGCGGUUUGUUGCGUCGGCUGUGAAAUCCCGAGGCUCAACCUCGGGUCUGCAGUCGAUACGAGCAAACUAGAGUGUUGCAGGGGAGACUGGAAUUCCUGGUGUAGCGGUGAAAUGCGCAGAUAUCAGGAGGAACACCAAGGACGAAGGUACCUACCUGGGCAGUAUCUGACACUCAAGUGCGACAGCGUGGGGAGCGAACCGG
rnacentral:rRNA from 1 species